rnacentral:lncRNA from 1 species
CUGGAGGUGGGCUGGGCUGCUCAGUGGGCCCACCCUGCUGGCUCUGGGCUUCGGAGGCCUUAUGGAAGGAGCAAGCUGCUCCCGAGGCCUCAGAGCCCAGCAGCUAGCUACAGGGUUUUUAGCAUCCCGGAACCUGUGCUCAAGACAGCAGCUGCCCAGGGAAGAGCCUCUCCCAGGGAAAGCUGCAUUCUCCUUGAGACUCCCCCGAUCCCGGGAGCCGCCAGAAGAACCUUUGCCUAGAUGAAGAAGCUGGAUUCACAUACACAGCAGUGGCUGACCAAGAUGCCAUCACUAGGAAGUAUGAAAACAAAGUUUGAAGCCAGGCGCCUGGCUAUAUCACCACUUCCCAUCCAGCAGCAGGAUAUGGCUCCAGGUCCCAAGUCCCAGGUGGAUUACAUCUCUGCUCGAAUGGGAAGGGAACUCCAGAUCCUCAAGUCCGGGUUGCCUCCCAAGAUGCUGCCCACCAAGGGGAGAAGGCCCCCUGGCCCGGGCCUGACUGCUACAACCAGAAAUAUCCACCAGAUGGCACUCUUUUGCCACUUCCCGUACUCCCAAGUGUUGCCAGAGGUGUCGCCAGAGCUGUCGUCCCUUUCGGCCGAGGUGGAAAACGCGGAGCCGGUGUACCCCAGGCUUUCCCCCUCACUCCCAUACGCAGCAGGACGGUGGGCGUGCCCUUGGUCCCCAAAGACUGCAAUCUCGAGCUUCUCCGAAGUCGGGCUCAUCCCUUCGGGCCUCCAGGCUUCUGUUGGAGGAGCGGACUCCCCUUGGGCGGGGGGGGGCAGUUCUGCUCAGUCCUCAAAUCCACCCUCAUUCACCAGUGAGCCAAAAGUUGGGCUUCACCCGGACUCCAUCGGUUCAGAACAGCGCAGCUCAAGGACCUUUACUAGGAGCCUUCCUAGUAAUAAGCAGAUUCCUCACUACCGCGGACGAGGGAGUCAGGGUCAUUUGUACACACGUGGCGCCUACACACCUGUACACACAGCCCCCCAACCUCGAUGUACUCCCGACAUCCCGCCCUGGACGCCCAGCCAGGGGUCAGCCAAAAGCGGAGAGAAGGGCCAGACCCUGGGACCUAGAACCCUCGGCUAG